GCAAGUCGAACGAGUACGGACUUCGGUCCAUAUGUACGAGUGGCGAACGGGUGAGUAACACGUGAGAAGCCUACCUCGGAGACCGGGCCAACCGUGGGAAACUACGGCUAAUACCGGAUGUCCUUACAUGAUCGCAUGAUCGAGUAAGGAAAUGAUCCGUCGCUCCGGGAGGGUCUCGCGGCCUAUCAGCUAGUUGGUGAGGUAACGGCUCGCCAAGGCAUCGACGGGUAGCUGGUCUGAGAGGACGAUC
rnacentral:rRNA from 1 species